AUUGAACGCUGGCGGCAGGCCUAACACAUGCAAGUCGGGCGAGCGGCAGACGGGGGAGAAAUGUAUGGGGAUCUGCUUGUUGGAGGGGGAUAACUACUGGAAACGGUAGCCAAUACCGCAUACCAUCAGCUGAACCCAUUUUGGAUUAGCUUGUAGGUAAGGUAACGCCGUACCUGGGCGACUAUCCCUAGCUGGUCUGAGAGGAUGAUCUGCCACAGUGACACUGAGACACGGCCCAGACUCCUACGGGAGGCAGCAGUGGGGAAUAUUGCACAAUGGGCGAAAGCCUGAUGCAGCCAUUCCGGGUGUAUGAAGAAGGCCUUCGGGUUGUAAAGUACUUUCAGUCGGGAGGCGUUACCGACAGAAGAAGCACCGGCUAACUCCGUGCCAGCAGCCGCGGUAAUUC
rnacentral:rRNA from 1 species